rnacentral:rRNA from 1 species
UACGGAGGGUGCAAGCGUUGUCCGGAUUUAUUGGGUUUAAAGGGUGCGUAGGCGGGCCUUUAAGUCAGUGGUGAAAGCCUGCAGCUUAACUGUAGAACUGCCAUUGAUACUGGAGGCCUUGAGUGUACUAGAGGUAGGCGGAAUUUAUGGUGUAGCGGUGAAAUGCAUAGAUACCAUAAAGAACACCGAUAGCGUAGGCAGCUUACUGGAGUACAACUGACGCUGAGGCACGAAAGCAUGGGGAGCGAACAGG